UACAGAGGGGGCAAGCGUUGUUCGGAAUUACUGGGCGUAAAGGGCGCGUAGGCGGCCUUCUAAGUCGAACGUGAAAUCCCUGGGCUCAACCCAGGAACUGCGUCCGAUACUGGAAGGCUUGAAUCCGGGAGAGGGAUGCGGAAUUCCGGGUGUAGUGGUGAAAUGCGUAGAGAUCCGGAGGAACACCAGUGGCGAAGGCGACACGCUGGGCCGUACCUGACGCUAAAGCGCGACAGCAUGGGGAGCAAACGGG
rnacentral:rRNA from 1 species